rnacentral:misc_RNA from 1 species
UUCCUUGAAUAAACAUGAUUCAAGCAGUCUACUAUUGAGCAUAAUAUUGUGCAUCCACCUUGCUACAUUAAUAGUUAAAGUAUGAUAAUGAUUCAAACGGUUUACUAUUGAGCAUAAUGCUUAAUAGUGUUGUAAAUGCUUACAGUGUUGACUUGUCAUAUGCACACCAAAGAAACGAGAGCAGAGCCCCAAGGUGGACGCACUUCUAAACCCUUAGAUGAAGUGCCAUAGCAAAAGAAAAUCAUAUCAAGAGUCAUGUUACAAUUUUUUAUUCUUUCACAAUCAUUUUGCUUAAUUACUUGCUAGAUAUAAAUUUUGAUGAAUUUAAACUACCUAAUAACCUAGGAACUACAACCCUUGUGUCAGGAUGCCCCCACAUUUAAGCUAACAAGUUAAGUAUAGCUUUCUUAUUGUUUUUUCUUUGACAUCUUAUUAUACAUUUAUUUCAAAGAUAUGCACCCUAAUUCACUCAAAUGUGUGCCUAUG